ACUACAAGUACCUUCUGCUUAUGCUUUGUGGAAUAGUUUGUGAAGAACUGGAAUUAGAUCUUCUUUGAAGGUCUGAUAGAACUCUGCACUAAACCCAUCUUUCCAGGCCUUUUUUUUGUUGUUGUUGUUGGGAGACUAUUAAUGACUGCUUCUAUUUCUUUAGGGGAUAUGGGAAUGUUUAGAUCAUUAACCUGAUCCUGAUUUUACUUUGGUACCUGGUAUCUGUCUAGGAAUUUGUCCAUUUCACCCAGGUUUUCCAGUUUUGUUGAGUAUAGCCUUUUGUUGACGGAUCUGAUGGUGUUUUGGGUUUCUUCAGGAUCUGUUGUUAUGUCUCCCUUUUCAUUCCUAAUUUUGUUAAAUAGGAUGCUGGCCAUGUGCCCUCUAGUGAGUCUGGCUAAGGGUUUAUCUAUCUUGUUGAUUUUCUCAAAGAACCAGCUCCUCAUUUGGUUGAUUCUUUGAAUAGUUCUUCUUGUUUCCACUUGGUUGAUUUUGCCCAUGAGUUUGAUUAUUUUCUGUUGUCUACUCCUCUUGGGUGAAUUUGCUUCCUUUUGUUCUAGAGCUUUUAGGUGUGUUGUCAAGCUGCUAGUGUGUGCUCUCUCUAGUUUCUUUUUGGAGGCACUCAGAGCUAUAAGUUUCCCUCUUAGAAAUGAUUUCCUUGUGUCCCAUAAGUUUGGGUAUGUUGUGGCUUCAUUUUCAUUAAACUCUAAAAAGUCUUUAAUUUCUUUCUUUAUUCCUUCCUUGACCAAGGUAUCAUUGAGAAGAGUGUUGUUCAGUUUCCACGUGAAUGUUGGCUUUCUAUUAUUUAUGUUGUUAUUGAAGAUCAACCUUAGUUCAUGGUGAUCUGAUAGGAUGCAUGGGACAAUUUCAAUAUUUUUGUGUCUGUUGAGGACUGUUUUGUGACCAAUUAUAUGGUCAGUUUUGGAGAAGGUACCAUAGGGUGCUGAGAAGAAGGUAUAUCCUUUUGUUUUAGGAUAAAGUGUUCUGUAGAUAUCUGUUAAAUCCAGUUGUUUCAUAACUUCUGUUUGUUUCACUGUGUCCCUGCUUAGUUUCUGUUUCUAUGAUCUGUCCAUUGAUAAAAGUAGUUUAUUGAAUUCUCCCACUAUUAUUAUGUGAGGUACAAUGUGUAGUUUGAGCUUUAAUAAAGUUUCUUUAAUAAAUGUGGUUCUUGUUGCAUUUGGAGCAUAGAUAUUCAGAAUUGUGAGGUCCUCUUGGAAGAUUUUACUUUUGAUGAGUAUGAAGUGUCCCUCCUUGUCUUUUUUGAUAACUUUGGGAUGGAAGUCAAUUUUAUUUGAUAUUAGAAUGACUACUCCAGCUUGUUUCUUCAGACCAUUUGCUUGGAAAAUUGUUUUCCAGCCUUUCACUCUGAGGUAGUAUCUCUAUUUUUCCCUGAGUUGGGUUUCCUGUAAGCAGCAAAAUGUUGGGUCCUGUAUGUGUAGCCAGUCUGUUAGUCUAUGUCUUUUUAUUGGGGAAUUUAGUCCAUUGAUAUCAAGAGACAUUAAUAAAAAGUAAUUUUUGCUUCCUUUUAUUUUUGUUUUUAGAGUUGGCAUUCUGUUCUUGUGGCUGUCUUCUUUUAGGUUUGUUAAAGGAUUACCUUCUUGCUUUUUCUAGGACAUGGUUUCCAACCUUGUAUUGUUUUUUUUUUUUUUCUGUUAUUAUCCUUUGAAGGGCUGGAUUCAUGGAAAGAUGUGUGAAUAUGGUUUGGUUGUGGAAUGCUUUGGUUUCUCCAUCUAUGGUAAUUGAAAGUUUGGCUGGGUAUAGUAGCCAGGGCUGGCAUUUGUGUUCUCUUAGUGUCUGUAUAACAUCUGUCCAGGAUCUUCUGGCUUUCAUAGUCUCUGGUGAAAAGUCUGGUGUAAUUCUGAUAGGCCUGCCUUUAUAUGUUACUUGACCCCUUUCCCUUACUGCUUUUAAUAUUCUCUCUUUAUUUAGUGCAUUUGUUGUUCUGAUUAUUAUGUGUCGGGAGGAAUUUCUUUUCCGGUCCAGUCUAUUUGGAGUUCUGUAGGCUUCUUGUAUGUUCAUGGGCAUCUCUUUCUUUAGGUUUGAGACAUUUUCUUCUAUAAUUUUGUUGAAGAUAUUUGCUGGCUCUUUAAGUUGAAAACUCUUCAUUCUCAUCUACUCCUAUUAUCUGUAGGUUUGGUCUUCUCAUUGUGUCCUGGAUUUCCUCGAUGUGUUGAGUUGGGAUCUUUUUGCAUUUUGCAGUUUCUUUGAUUGUUGUGGUGAUGUUCUCUAUGGAAUCUUCUGCACCUGAGAUUCUCUCUUCCAUCUCUUGUAUUCUGUUGCUGAUGCUCGCAUCUAUGGUUCCAGAUUUCUUUCCUAGGGUUUCUAUCUCCAGCGUUGCCUCACUUUGGCUUUUCUUUAUUGUGUCUACUUCCCUUUUUAGGUCUUGGAUGGUUUUAUUCAAUUCCAUCACCUGUUUGGUCGUGUUUUCCUGCAAUUCUUUAAGGGAUUUAUGUGCUUCCUUUUUAAGGUCUUCUACCUGUUUAGCAGUGUUCUCCUGUAUUUCUUUAAGUGAGUUAUUAAAGUCCUUCUUGACGUCCUCUACCAUUAUCAUGAGAUAUGCUUCUAAAUCCAGGUCUAGCUUUUUGGGUGUGUUGGUGUGCCCAGGACUGGGUGAGUUGGGAGUGCUGCAUUCUGAUGGUGGUGAGUGGUCUUGGUUUCUGUUAGUAAGAUUCUUGCAUUUGCCUUUCAACAUCUGGUAAUCUCUGGAGUUAGUUGUUAUAGUUCUCUCUGGUUAGAGCUUGCUCCUCUCAUGAUUCUGUUAGCCUCUAUCAGCAGACCUGGGGAACUAGAUCUCUCCUGUAUGUUUCCAUGGUUAGAGCACUCUGCAGGCAAGCUCUCCUCUUCCUGGGAAGGUGUAGAGAUAUCUGGCAUUCGGACCUGCCUCUUUGCAGAAGAUGAAGGCCUGAAAUAGGGCCUGUCCCAGAAGCUGUGUCUCUUCUGCCUGUCCCAGAAGCUGUUAGCUUCUGUAGUCCACACUCUCACCUGCGCAGACUAGUCUCAGAAGGAUCCAGAAACCAAGAUGGUGCCCCCAGGUCCUCUGUCAAAGUGGGGCAGACACCUCUCCUCUGGCAGGGAAGGUGCCUGGAUGUCUGGAGCCUGAAAUGGGGUCUGCCUCAGAAGCUGUCCUCUAGGGACCUUGGGGUUGUCUGCAGACUCUGCACCCAGGUGACCAGGUGCUGGUGCCAACAAGAAGGGAUUUGUGACCCUGGUCAGGCCGGCUUUUCUGCUUCCCUAAUGCUGUCAAAGUCCUGUGCGAUUGGAUUGGAACAGAAGUUGUGUUCCACUCACCGGUGGUCCUAAGAUCGUGUGGAGAGUCCUCUACAGGACCUUGGGGGUGUCCACUGACUCCACGCCCACGGUGACCUGGUGCUGGUGCCGACAGCUAAAUAAUAUUCCACUGUGAAUGGUACUGUGUGGAAGCUAUGGAGUCCUUUUGAUAUAUGAAUAAGAACGGUAUGGCUGGACUGUAGAUCUAUUUCUACCAUUUUGAGGAACCUCCACAUUCCACAUUUUGAGGAAGUGCCAUAGUGACUGUACCAGACCACACUGUUGCCAGAGGCUGCCAGAAGGAGCUUAUACCAGUUUGGAUGGUCAACUUGACACAGCCGAGAGUCACUGAAGAAGAGCAUCUCAAUGAGGGAUUCUCCCCAGUGGAUGAGCCUGCCUUGAUCACAUUAACUGCUGUGGGAAGACCCAGUGUUCUGUGAGAAGCACCAUUCCCUAUAGAACAGGAGAAAGCCAACAGAAGCAGGAACCAUGCAGCAGAGGUUCCUUUAUCUUUCUUUGAUCUUGACUGUGACUGUGAUGUGAUGAGCCAUUUGAGGCUUCUGACUUGACUUCUCCACCGUGACUCACUUGGAGCUAUGAGCUGAAAUAAACUCUUUUCCCC
rnacentral:lncRNA from 1 species